rnacentral:rRNA from 1 species
UACGUAGGGUGCAGGCGUUAAUCGGAAUUACUGGGCGUAAAGCGUGCGCAGGCGGUUUGCUAAGACAGGUGUGAAAUCCCCGGGCUUAACUUGGGAAUGGCAUUGGAAACUGGCGGGCUGGAGUGCGGCAGAGGGGGGGUGGAAUUCCACGUGUAGCAGUGAAAUGCGUAGAGAUGUGGAGGAACACCGAUGGCGAAGGCAGCCCCCCUGGGCCGACACUGACGCUCAGGCACGAAAGCGUGGGGAGCAAACAGG